UCACGCGCACGCUGACCGAGUUGUACACGCGCCGAUAGGCCCAACUAAAGCCACGUGCCUCUGCCGAACUAUCGACAACGUACAAUUCUCACGAUGCUUCCUUAUUCAAUAUUAUUAUAUUUAGACACACAUUGUUCUUUCUUUUCCGGUAAAAUCGAUCGAUUGAAAAGAGUCCUUCCCCGAAUAGAACCCUUUUCCAACAGAAAUAUUUAUAAAAUCGGCCUACGUGUCUCUCUCUCUCUCUCUCUCUUGGCGGGCGAUAGGUCUUUGAAUGUUUAGUCGCCAGCUUGCAAUACGACGACGAUGUCACCUCCGUGGUAAUAAAACUAUCUGCGAAGCGUUCUAAAUUUUCCUGACGAACUAUUGAUAACAUGUUCUUGAUUACUAUUGAUAACUGAACUAUUGAUAACAUGUAAGAACUCAAUGGAAAAGCUUUUAGUUUUUAAUUUUUUCCUAUGAAGUUAUGAUAAACAGCAUCGUUUUAAAAAUCACUAUUGGCAAACAUUGAUGUAAUUAGCGUUGUUUUCAUGCCGAACAGAUUUCUCAGAUGAAUAUACCAACGUCCGUGAUAGUUGUAGUAUUAAUACCCGAUAUUCGGAGAAGAGAUUUCAUUUGUUUCCCAUGCCAGACUAAUAAUUAUCGCUAUAAUGGUUGAAAGGGUGACGAUAUGGUAUAGAGACACGAUUGAGUCUCCGAAAGUAGAAAGAGUUUGGUCGGAGACGGCGCCAGGUUUAUUUGAAGUUCAAAAACAUGAAAUUUAGGAUGACGUGUUGUGAUGUAUACAAAAUAUAUAUAUAUAUACACCCACAACAUAUGUACGUAUAUAACCGGUUUACCUAUAUAACCGUGUGAUUUAUAUCUAUGUAUAUGUACGUACAGUCAUGUAAGUAUAAUACCUGCAUGUAUAUAAACACAUACUCAUAAAAUAAACGCCGAAGGCAGUUUGAUCGCGUGGACCGGAUUCGCUUACUAUUUGACUUGAAUUUACGUGUAUUUAUUCACAUUUUACAGUCAAAGACGCCGGCGCCUCAAAGAUUGAAGAUGACCGGGAGCAGACGAUACUGAUGACGACGACGACUAAGUACGACCGACAAACCCCCCUCAAGACUAAUAAUAAUAAUAGAAAGAAAACGAGAA
rnacentral:lncRNA from 1 species